UGCUGAGAGACUUGAAGUAUUUCCUGCCAUUUAACUUCUAGAAGCUUCUACUAAUUAUCUUAUGCACUUGAGAUCUUGUCUCACUUUCUGCUAACAUCUCAAAUAAGUAAUGAAAACUCUUAUUUUCUAAAAUGUUUUUAUCAACAAAUAACCAGGAACAUAGGAGUAUUUUUGUUGCUGUUUAGAGAAAUCACAAUGGGCACCGAGGAUCGCUGGCUUACUUCCCACUUUGAAAACUGCCACACACCUUAUCCAAGAAGACAGAUGCAAAACCAGAGUUCCUGAGAAUCAAGCUCCCAGUGAGUAAGUAAACCAGACUUCACUGAGCAUAGAGGACCUUGCCACCUGGUCACCCUUUCCUCCUUUAUAUCUGUCUGGGGAUCUAGCAGAAGAAUAUUCACCUGCUUCCAAACCAUAAUGUUUGGCACACUUCAGAGGCAAGAGAGGCAUGUCUACUUUCCACCUGAAGACCUGGGCAGAGGACCAGACCAACCCACAGAUUUCAGCUGGGGAGAAAGGUCACAGACUCAGCUAGCUUUACUCAAAACAUAGAAACAAGAAGUGAACUUAUGACUGUCAGAUGAUGAUUCUUCCUGAAAUGUUUCUACUCCUGAUAACAAGAGAUGUGGACAGCAAACAAAAUCUGGUGGAGAGUUUACUUAUAUAAUCAAUCGUAAACAAUCUGUACCCUGAAAUACUGAAUAAAUAUGAACUGAAAUAUCAGA